rfam:Stegodyphus mimosarum contig19364, whole genome shotgun sequence.
GCCUUCGUGGUGUAGUGGUCAGCACACUCGGCGCGUAUUCGAGAAGUCCGGGGUUCGAGUCCCGGUAAGGGCA